GGAUUUUAUACCUAUUUGCCUCUCCAUACUCUGUAAAGAACUCCACUUCUUUGGUAUUCUUCUUGCGAUGAUCUUGUUGCAUCAUAAUUCUGAGAAUACCCAACAACCCAAUUCACCAAUAAUCUCAAAAAAUGCCUACACUAUAUCCACUUCAACUUUCUCCUAUUUUUUCCCAGAUCUUACACAAAAUCAAAUCAACCCCAAACUACAAACACCACAACCAGAAUUAAUCAAAAAUCAGCUUCAAUUCCACCACCUGCAGCUGCUCCGUAUCACCAAAACCGAAAAUCCUCUUCGUUUUACCCCAAUUCACGAGCUUAACAAACUGAAAAAACUCCACUACCAGCUCACUCAUCCAAUUCUAAAGAACCCCACAAAGAUCCCUCACACUACUACUCAAAAAACAACAAAAAAUACCAAAAAAUUCGAAAAAAAACUGAACAGAAACUCAAAUACAGAACAAACCCUUAAUGGGUUUUGAAGAUCUAAUGGUAAUUGACUGAAGAG
rnacentral:misc_RNA from 1 species